CCUACGGGAGGCAGCAGUGAGGAAUAUUGGACAAUGGGCGCAAGCCUGAUCCAGCCAUGCCGCGUGCAGGAAGACGCAUCUAUGGUGUGUAAACUGCUUUUGUACGGGAAGAAACACUCCCUCGUGAGGGAGCUUGACGGUACCGUAAGAAUAAGGAUCGGCUAACUCCGUGCCAGCAGCCGCGGUAAUACGGAGGAUCCAAGCGUUAUCCGGAAUCAUUGGGUUUAAAGGGUCCGUAGGCGGUUUAAUAAGUCAGUGGUGAAAGCCCAUCGCUCAACGAUGGAACGGCCAUUGAUACUGUUAGACUUGAAUUACUAGGAAGUAACUAGAAUAUGUAGUGUAGCGGUGAAAUGCUUAGAUAUUACAUGGAAUACCAAUUGCGAAGGCAGGUUACUACUAGUGGAUUGACGCUGAUGGACGAAAGCGUGGGGAGCGAACAGGAUUAGAUACCCUGGUAGUCCACGCCGUAAACGAUGGAUACUAGCUGUUGGGCGCAAGUUCAGUGGCUAAGCGAAAGUGAUAAGUAUCCACCUGGGGAGUAACGUUCGCAAGAAUGAAACUUCAAAGGAAUUGACGG
rnacentral:rRNA from 1 species